AUACGUAGGGAGCGAGCGUUGUCCGGAAUUACUGGGUGUAAAGGGAGCGUAGGCGGGACUGCAAGUCAGAUGUGAAAUACCGGGGCUUAACCCCGGAGCUGCAUUUGAAACUGUGGUUCUUGAGUGAAGUAGAGGCAAGCGGAAUUACUGGUGUAGCGGUGAAAUGCGUAGAUAUCAGGAGGAACACCGGUGGCGAAGGCGGCUUGCUGGGCUUUUACUGACGCUGAGGCUCGAAAGCGUGGGUAGCAAACAGGAUUAGAUACCCUGGUAGUCCACGCUGUAAACGAUGAUUACUAGGUGUGGGGGGACUGACCCCUUCCGUGCCGCAGUUAACACAAUAAGUAAUCCACCUGGGGAGUACGGCCGCAAGGUUGAAACUUAAAGGAAUUGACGGGG
rnacentral:rRNA from 1 species